rnacentral:misc_RNA from 1 species
UACGUAGGUGUCAAGCGUUGUCCGGAAUUAUUGGGCGUAAAGCGCGCGCAGGCGGUUCCUUAAGUCUGAUGUGAAAGCCCACGGCUCAACCGUGGAGGGUCAUUGGAAACUGGGGAACUUGAGUACAGAGGAGGAAAGUGGAAUUCCAUGUGUAGCGGUGAAAUGCGUAGAGAUGUGGAACACCAGUGGCGAAGGCGACUUUCUGGUCUGUAACUGACGCUGAGGCGCGAAAGCGUGGGGAGCAAACAGG